GGCGCUAUAGUGUAGUGGUUAUCACUUGGGAUUCUGAUUCUCAUCUUCCCAAAACCCAGGUUCGAGCCCUGGUAGCGCCU
rnacentral:tRNA from 2 species